rnacentral:lncRNA from 1 species
GGUCACCAUGGCAACCGACCGGCGCCUUCAAGGGAUGCUGCAAUCAGAAACAGCAUAACUUCAAGACCGUCGUGACAUCAUGUCAUGGCUGUAAAAAGAGCAUAGGUGCGACCCUGACGCUGCCUUCAGAGCCCAAUCGGAAAUGAUAACACCUGUGUCACGGUCAAAACAGCAAGUGGUGAGAUUUGAGAUAUAUUCAGUCAGACUUCAUCUAUGCAUUGAAAAAAAAAAAAACAUGUCAGCUUGAUAUCAGCUCAGUUUUGUCUCCAUAUGAAGUUGUAACGGUUGGUAAAACGAGCAGUUAUGAGUGAGUUGAGAUAAUGAAGCGCUAGCUAAAAGGGUAUUUAAAUGUUAUGGAUUCACACGAACACGGAGGGAAACAUGCCUGAGUCUGAGUCAUGCGUGAGUCUGCGCGCGUGUGUCGGAGCGGCUCGUUUCUGACCGUCCCUGAACGCACCACCGGCUCCUCCGCCCGCAGACGGAGGCGCGGGUUGACGCACGCGGCAGUUCAGGGAGCGUCUCCGCAGACGCUGAGCGGCGCAGCGGAGGCUCGGCGUCCGUUUGACGCGCGCACACUCGCCUGGAUGUCGACCGUCCCAGCCCGGUGGUCGCCGAACGCUUCCAUGAGUCCGCAGACAUCCGGGAGGGGCAGCCGGUCCGACAGACAGUUGAAGUCUCCUCCAGGAAGAGAACCCUUCUCCUAACAGUGGAGGGAACAGCUGCCGGUAGUCUCUGCCUCCCAUUCGUUGCCCCGAUGCUUGCGUUCGGCCUGCCCUUCUGCACCAGCAACCGCACAGACAGAGCAUCAGAACACGGCAUGACCGAGGCUCAGCACGCCUCCGAGGCCGGAGCCCGCCAAAGACCGAGCAGCACCACCUUCUCUCUGGGACAAAGUUGACGGACAGACGGCUCCUCCAGCUUUGGGAUAGACAUUUGCGUGUGAAGGGCUUUCCCUCUGGGAUCGAGCUGUGGAAGAGUUUAUGGGAAGAUGGCAGCAGGAGCAGAGGGAAGUCCGCAUCAGCACCAGAGGAGGAAAGCUUUGCUGCACGGAUUGGAGGACCAGAAAAGGGUGAGUUAAGCCCUUCAACCAAUGAAAGUUCUAAAAAUGAUGCAAACGAGUGUGAGGUACGAUUGCUAUGGAGAAAAGUUUUAGUUUGAAC